rnacentral:misc_RNA from 1 species
AUAAUAGUCACCUACAACCCCAUGUUUUUUACUGGAAUUGUGGCCAACUAAAUUUCCCCCAAAUGAAAGGUGGAAGAAGAUUUCAUUAUUAAUUGUUAUGAACUUAAUAAUAAACCAUUCAAGUGUAAGAACCUGCUUUUACCUUUCUAGUAGCCUUGUAAAAAGUCAAAUGAAUUAAAUGAGAUUUUUAAGGCCCUUUUGCAGUUGGUGCCUUAGUGAAAAAGACCAGUUCUAAACUAUGCACCUAAUUUGCAACCCUGCCAGAAAUUUCCCCUUCCAAGAUUAAGCCCGAGUUCCUGUUCAGUGUAAUGCUAACUUUUCCGGACAGAUCAAACUUCAAUUAGUUAUUGGAGAUCCAAUACCAGAAUGCACUAACAAUAAAAGUAUCAUGAGUUUGCCUGUGGACUAUCUCCUAAAAAAU